rnacentral:lncRNA from 1 species
GCGCCGAUCGAUGUCAAAACCAUUCCAACACCUUUGGAACUCAUUUUUACUCUUCCAAACUUGUCGGAAUACCGAAUGGAACUUGUCCCAACCGUUCAGUCGCCUACUUUGGUCCAUUUGGCCAAAGUUAGCCAAUAUCGUCGAAAUUCGAUAUCUCACAACUUCGCACCGUUCGAUGCCAAAACCCUUCCAACUCUUUUAGAGCUUACUUUUAGCCUUCCAACAGUGAUGGAAUGUUAAUUGGGACUUGUCCAUCCAUCUUCUUCGCAUACUUUAGUCAUUUUAGCUAAAGUUCGAUAAUUUCCUUCGAAACCUCGGGGGUUACA